AGGUAGACACUUAGGAGUGGAAUUGCUGAGUCAUACAGUAAUUCUAUGUUUAACAUUUUGAGGAACUGCCAAACUGUUUCCAAAAUGGCUGCAACAUUCUACAUUUCCAUCAGCAAGAAGGGCCCAUGUGGCAAGGAACUAAGGGCAGUCUCUGGCCAAAAGCCCACAAGUAACUGAAUUCUGCCAAUAACCAUGAGUUUGGAAGUGGAUCCUUCCCCAUUCGAGUCUCAGAUGAGUCCCCAGCCCUGGCCAGCAUCUUCAUGUGCUGUGAGAGACCAUUAAGCAGAGGACCCAGCUAAGCUCUGCCCAGAUGCUCAAUCCACAGAAAAAGAUACUAAGUGUGUGUUGUUUUAAGCUGCUACAUUUGCAGUGGUUUGAUAUGCAGCAAUAGAUAACUGAUACUGCUGUUAAUUGCUUUCUAUUACAAUCAACUGGAAUAACUGCCCUUGUGCAUACAAUCAGGGAUGUAUUUUGGGAUCAAUUCCCAGACCUGAGAUUGUUCAGUCCAAGGGUAAGGAUAUUUAAUGUGGAAAAAUAACACUAAAUUGUCCUCCAAAAAUAUUAUCAAGUGACAAUCAUGCAAACAGUAUGAAAGUUCCUACUUCUCUCCAUGUUCUUGCCAAAUGAAGUGUCAUUGAUCAUUGAAAAAAUAUCAGUUUGAGAAAAAUCAGUACUGCAUUGCUUUGAUUGCAUUUUCCUGAUCACUUAUCAGGGUGAGCAUCUUUUUAACGAAUCCCUUGGCCAUUUAUUUUCCUCUUUCUUCUGAGACUUCUCUCUUGAUAUUUUUAGCUUUUAUCCUAUUUUAAUUGGAUUUCAAUUGGAUUGAACAACUAGAAUGAUAGAAUGAUAUCUGGGGGGCACACAAUGGCCAUUGGUGAUGCUGCUGUUGAUUACCCAAAGUGCUAUCCCAUUUCUUCCUGUGUAUUUACUACUAUUUCUCUUGCAGUUAAUAAGCAAUUUAUGGGAAGAUUCUUUGAGACCAUUCAAAUAUCCUGCACCUCAUUAAAAUAUCCCCCUGGAUUUAGCAGCCUUUGAUGAUUCUUGCCUGAACAAAACUUUAUUAUGGUAGAUGUAAAAUGAAGAUUUUCAUUUCUAGCACUUCUUCCACAUUUACCAGCUACAUUCAGCCUUCUUGUGGAUAAGACUCUCCCCUUUCUCCCAAUUGUUUAUUGUUUUUAUUAGUAUGGACUCACGAUUUCCUGUUCUUCUCAAUGGCCUAUAAUUUAUUACUAUCUUUAAUUAUAUUAGUGCUCAAAUUUUCCCAGUUUGGCCAGUGGGAUCCCCUCCAAGUUGGCUAUUAUUUCCUUGUGACAUACACACUUUUUCUUUCUUUCUCUUUCUUUUUCUUUCCUUUUAAAACUCACUUCUUUACUUCCUGCUCCAGCCCUGGAAUCAGCCAUUUCUCUGAAAAACUGUGGUUCUUUCAAGUGGACAAAGGUAUUAGAGACCAAAAUUUGGGCACAAGAUAUGCACUUUAACAAGGACCCACUUUAAGUGCAGUUUAGUGAAUCUGAAUGAAUGCAUGAACUUCUGUAACUACUACCACAAUCAAGAUAUAGAGUUUCUGUCACCUCUCAAAGCCUCCUUUUCUUGCUUGCUCAU
rnacentral:lncRNA from 1 species